CGGUUUCGCUGCGCGCGCAGACCCUGCACCUGGCGGUGGCUGCUCUGGGCUCCUUGUCACCAGGACAACCGGCCCCGCCGCAGCUCAUUUGCCAUGGUUUUCUCAAACAGUGAUGAAGCCCCCAUUAACAAAAAGUUACCCAAAGAACUUCUGUUAAGAAUAUUUUCCUUCUUGGAUAUUGUCACUCUGUGCCGAUGUGCGCAAGUUUCCAAGGCAUGGAAUGUCUUGGCUCUGGAUGGAAGUAACUGGCAAAGAAUAGAUCUUUUUAACUUUCAGACAGAUAUAGAGGGUCGUGUGGUGGAAAAUAUUUCCAAAAGGUGUGGUGGGUUCCUGAGACAGCUUAGUUUAAGAGGAUGUCUUGGUGUUGGAGACUCUGCUUUGAAGACAUUUGCACAGAACUGUAGAAAUAUUGAACAUUUAAAUCUAAAUGGAUGUACAAAAAUUACUGACAGCACGUGUUAUAGCCUUAGCAAAUUCUGUUCCAAGCUGAAACAUCUGGAUCUGACAUCCUGUGUAUCUAUUACAAACAGCUCUUUGAAAGGUUUAAGUGAGGGUUGCAGAAAUCUGGAACAUUUGAAUCUUUCCUGGUGUGAUCAGAUUACGAAGGAUGGUAUUGAAGCACUGGUGAAAGGGUGCAGUGGACUAAAAGCACUAUUUCUUAGAGGUUGCACACAGUUGGAAGAUGAAGCACUGAAACACAUUCAAAAUCACUGUCAUGAACUUGUAAUCCUGAACUUGCAGUCAUGCACACAAAUUUCAGAUGAAGGCAUUGUAAAAAUUUGUAGAGGAUGCCACAAACUUCAGUCACUGUGUGUUUCUGGUUGUAGCAACCUUACAGAUGCUUCUCUCACAGCACUUGGUCUAAACUGUCCGAGAUUGAAGAUUUUGGAAGCUGCAAGAUGUUCCCACCUGACAGAUGGAGGUUUUACACUUUUAGCACGGAAUUGCCAUGAACUGGAAAAGAUGGACUUAGAAGAGUGCAUUCUGAUAACAGAUAACACAUUGAUACAACUUUCUGUUCACUGUCCUAAACUGCAAGCAUUGAGCUUAUCUCACUGUGAACUGAUCACAGAUGAUGGGAUUCUGCAUCUGAGCAACAGUACCUGUGGUCAUGAAAGGCUCCAGGUCUUAGAGUUAGACAAUUGUCUUCUUAUCACCGAUGUGACCCUGGAGCACCUAGAGAACUGCCACAGUUUGGAGAGAAUUGAGUUAUAUGACUGUCAGCAAGUCACACGCGCAGGAAUCAAAAGAAUAAGAGCUCAUUUACCUGAUGUGAAAGUUCAUGCCUACUUUGCUCCAGUUACCCCUCCUCCUUCUGUAGGAGGUAGUCGACAGCGACUCUGCAGGUGCUGCAUUAUUCUUUGACAGUAGGAGCAUCAGCAGAGGAAGAAAGAUUCAUUUAAUUAUGGAAACAAUCAGACUGCAAGUGGCUUGCAGAGUGUCCAUUUCUUAACUGCUGUAGGAGUGAUGUCACAGUCAUCCAAUUUUGUGCUGGUACUGACUCAAGAAAGGUGUUUUCGCAGGUGGUGGUGAUGGACCUGAUGGAAGGACUGCAGAGAUUAUUCAGUUUAAAAAACGACAUCUGAAAUCUGCACAAAAUAACCCCAAUAGGCAGCAAAUGGCUACAGAAGGUUCAGGGAUAAUGGAGUAUAAGCAAAGCUGAAAAACCAGGAUUUCAGAAUGGCACUCAGUCCAUAAACUUAAAAUGUGCCUACCCUGACGGUGCUCACAUCAGCUGUUGCUCUGAGAUGUCUAGCAGUAUUUCUUUUUCAAACAAUCAUUCUUUGGACUGAAAUUUAAGAGUUAUUUAGUAGAAGACUAAAUUGAUGCCCACAUGCAGUUUUGCGUUCUUGUGAGUUUCAUGCUAAGCUAGGAGUUUUAUUCAUGAAGUAGUAAUUCAUCACAAGCAUUUACUGAUAAACCCACUGUCAAGUUAGGUCAAUUUUUUUUAAAAUUGACCAGCCAAGAUAAAAGCCCUUUAAAAUGACACUGGUGUUAAGUGCUCCAAAUGCUUUAUCAUAAUCUAUUAAAAAUAAAAUUAAUUAAAAAAAAAGAUUUAGCUUUUAAUAAGGAAAAGUGCAAGGACACAUGGAUAAACUGUAAAGAAAGCAACCAAACAAAGAUUAAAUGAACUGAAGGCCAAGACCAUGCUAGACAUGCCAACACAGAUUUCUGAUACACUCUUCAUGAUUGUCUGUUAACCCAAAUGUAAGCUAAGUUUCUUUCAGGCAGUUUUUAAAGCUAUUUCUUGUCCCUGAAAAGCAAGAGCUAAACAGUAAGUCCCAGAAUUUAACAGGUGCCAGCACUUCAAACAUGGAAGAUCCAGUGAACUUGAAAUCCCACAUAUGUCUGAGUACUAAAAGGCCCUUUUUAUCGACAAUAACAUGAGAAAAAACUUAUGCUGCCUGCACAUUUUUUUGAUAUGCUUAUUAAUCUUUUUGUGCUGGAAGUCUGGCUUUCACUUGCCAGCAAUGGGUACACCAAAAAUCUUAAAACUGGUUAAUGUUCCUAGAGACAUUGGCUUGGGGCCUCAAAAGCUGGAAAACUUGGAAAUCACACAUAUAAAGUGGACUCAAUCUAGAGGCGGAUUUGUGAUCUUAUUUUUAUUACAAAGAAUGUCACAUUGUUACCACGUACAGAUAUAGCCAACACUGGCAUACUAGACUGCGACUUCACUCAUACUAAACAUGAUUGUUCACUGUUACCUGGUACUCCCCAUCCAUUCUGUCAUAUCUACCUGAUGUCUCUCAUUAUAAACUAAGACUCUAAGCUCUCAGGGACAAGGACUUAUGUGUGUGUACAGCACCUAACACAAUGGGGUUUUGAUCCCUAAUUGUGAGCUUUAGGCACAACCACAGUACAAAUAAUAAAACUAAUGAGCCAUCUAUUUCUCUAGCACGAAGAGGAAAGUUUAGAGGUGGAAGUUUUCUGACAUCCCUAAAACAUGACAUAGCCAAGAUACUACCUCCUGCCUGUGCUCUAGUGAGGCAAUUUUCUGUAUGUACUUACCACUAGGACAUUGUGUUUUGAAGUGUUUUGAUUUUAAUAUAACUUAUAGUAGAUUUUCUUUAGUUAAAGCUGCCAAAGAUUUUUUAAUUUUAACUUUUUAGCAUUUACACCAAAUCAGAAUGACCUGAAAUUCUGGAGUUCUGGAAGUAACACUGCACAGUUGGCUUUUGACCAGCCUUAAGGAAAAAUAAAAAAGAAACUCAGUUCAGUUGGGACAGUGGGGUAAUUUCCUUUGAAGAUUCUCAAAAUUCUCAACCCCCAAAGUCCAAGAGACUUCACUAUAAACAAGACAAGAAUUACAUCCCUCUAACUCUUUGGCUGCUUUCCUGAAGUGUUAUGGUUCAAAAAACUUGAAUUUUCUGAUACUAUAAUUUGUGAUAAAAUACUAUGUGAUACAGCCCUACCAAAUUCACGCUCCAUUUUAGUCAAUUUCACAGCCAUAGGAUUUUUAAAACCUUAAAUUUCAUGAUUUCAGCUAUUUAAAUCUGAAAUUUCAGUGUUGUAACUGUAGGGGUCCUGACCUAAAAAGGGAGUUAUGGGGGCGGGGAAGGGGGUCACAAGGUUAUAGUAGGGAGGGCUGCAGUACUGCUACCCGCACUUUUGUGCUGCUCCUGGUGGCGGCUCUGCCUUCAGAGCUGGGCAGCUGGAGAGCACUGGCUGCUGGGCGGGAGCCCAGCUCUGAAGGCAGAGCCACCGCCAGUGGCAGCACAGAAGUAAGAAUGGCAUGAUAUGGUAUUGCCACCCUUCUGCACUGCUGCCUGCAGAGCUUGGUCCGCAGUCGGCAGCUGCCACUCAGCUCUGAAGCACAGAAGUAAAGGUGAUAUGGUAUGGUAUUGCCACACUUACUUAUGCACUGCCCCCUAAAAUAACCUUGUGACCCCCCUGCAACUCGCUUUUGGGUCAGGACCCCCAAUUUGAGAAAUGCUUGUCUCCCCUGUGAAAUCUGUAGAAUAUAGGGUAAAAAGUGCACAAAAACACCAGAUUUCACAGUCCGAGACAUGUUUUUUGUGGCGAUGAAUAUGGUAGGGCCGUAGCGAUAAUGCUUACUUAGUACUUUUCCAGUACUAAGACAUAAACAUAGUUACAAUAUACUUGUUUUGCUUAAAUUUUCAAGGUCCCCCACCCCAUGAGGAAUAUUUACUAGGGCAGUCAAGCAAUUAAAAAAAAUUAAUCGCUCAAUUAGUCACACUGUUAAACAAUAAUAGAAUACCAUUUAUUUAAAUAUUUUUGGAUGUUUUCUACAUUUUCAAAUAUAUUGAUUUCUAUUACAACACAGAAUACAAAAUGUACCGUGCUCACUUUAUAUUUUAUUACAAAUAUUUGCACUGUAAAAAUUAAAAGAAAUAGUAUUUUUCAGCUCACCUCAUACAAGUACUGUAGUGCAAUCUCUAGUGUGAAAGAGCAACUUAUAAACGUAGAUUUGUGUGUGUUACAUAAUUGCACUCAAAAACAAAACAACCUAAAACUUUAGAACCUGCAGGUCCAUUUAGUCCUAUUUCUUGUUCAGCCAAUCGCUUAGAGAAACAAGUUUGUUUACAUUUACAGGACUGCUUCUUAUUUACAAUGUCACCUGAAAGUAAGAGGCGGCAUUCACAUGGCACUUUUGUAGCCAGCAUUGCAAGGACCAUGCCAGAUAUGCUAAACAUACAUAUGCCCCUUCAUGCUUUGGCCACCAUUCCAGAGGACAUGCUUCAUACUGAUGAUGCUCCUUAAAUGUGUUAAUUAAAUUUGUGACUGAAUUCCCUGGGGGAGAAUUGUAUGUCUCCUGCUCUGUUUUAUCCACAUUCUGCCAUAUAUUCCAUGUUAUAGUUAUCUCAGAUGAUGAUGCAGCACGUUAGUUUUAAGAACACUUUCACAGCAGAUUUGACAAAAUGCAAAGAAGGUAUCAAUAUGAGAUUUCAAAGGACAGAUACGGUACUCGACCCAAGGUUUCAGAAUCUGAAGUAUCUUCCAAAAUCUGAGAGGGAUGAGGUGUGGAGCAUGCUUUCAGAAGUCUUAAAAGAGAAACACUCAGAUACAGAAACUACAGAACACGAACCAUCAAAAAAUAAAAUCAACCUUCUGCUGAUGGUAUCUGACUCAGAUGAUGAAAAUGAACAUGCAUUGGUCUGCUUGAUAAUGAUCCAAAGCAGAGCAGAACCCGUCAUCAGCAUGGACGCAUGUCUUCUGGAAUGGUGGUUGUAGCAUGAAGGGACAUAUGAAUCUUUAGCUCAUCUGGCAUGUAAAUAUCUUGCAACAUCGGCUACAACAGUGCCAUGCUGAUCUCACUUUCAGGUGACAUUGUAAACAAGAAGUGGGCAGCAUUCUCUCCUGCCAAUUGUAACCAAAAACUUGUUUAUCUGAGCGAUUUGCUGAUGUAAGACUGAGUGGACUUGUAGGCACUAUAUUUUUUAAUGCAAUACAAAACUUUAGAAUUAUGUACACAAAAUAACUUAUUUGUAAGUUCAACUUUCAUGAUAAAGAGAUUGCACUACAGUACCUGUAUUAGAUGAAUUGAAAAAUACUAUUUUUAUCAUUUUUUACGGUGCAAAUAUUUGUAAUUAAAAAUAUAAAGUGAGCACUGUACACGCUGCAUUCUGUUGUAACAGAAAUCAAUAUAUCUGAAAAUGUAGAAAAACAUCCAAAUAUAUCUAAUACAUUUCAAUUCGUAUUCUAUUGUUUAACAGUGCGAUUGAGAUUAAUUUUUUAAAUCAGAGUUAAUUUUUGAGUUAAUCAUAUGAGUUAACUGCGAUUGACAGCCCUAACAGUUACACAAUAUGUACAUUAAAAGCUGUAUGUUGCUCUCAUUGUACCACUUUACAUUAAGCCAUGUGCCCUUACUGUUCACAAUAUAUUAAAAUGAUCAAGAAAAUGAAUAUACAAGACAACCAAUCAGAGGCAAGACAAGGAUGUGUGUGUCCACCACAGCACAGUAAAGUGGUUGCUACUUAUCAAACAUCUUCUGUUUGACAUCAAAAUAGUAAAACAAAUGAAUAUCCCUAACUUCAGUGUAAUGACUUUCAAACAACUAACAUUCUCAACCUUUCAAUGGCCUAAUAUUUGUUCACCCUUACUUUCUUUUAAGCCACUGACUUCAGACCAUAGAGUCUCACAUGAACUUCAUUUCUCUUUAAAUAGCCUUGUUUUAUAGAAAAUUUAUUUAUAUAAGAAUUGAUUAAAUAAAAUAUUACAUGACAACA